rnacentral:SRP_RNA from 1 species
CCGUGCUAGAUGGGGAGUUAGCGGUGCCUUGUAACUUGCAAUCCGCUAUAGCAAGAUUGAAUUCCCUAUGGAAGGUUUCUUAUUUGUAUGGCCUGCCCUAUAUAAGUGGUGUUGAGAGUUAGGUCCCACGCAAUAAAAGCCCAUGAACCUCGUCAGGUCUGGAAGGAAGCAGCGAUAAGUGGAUACUUUUAUGUGACGUGGAUCAAUCUGGCUUGAGCUAACUGUAUAGGUAACGCAUAUAGAUGGAUAUCAACCUGGGGUGCACGG